rnacentral:rRNA from 1 species
ACGCUGGCGGUGCGCCUUAUGCCUGCAAGUCGAGCGAAGCUUUUCAGUAGUUUACUACAGAAAAUGACUGAGCGGCGAACGGGUGAGUAACGCGUGAGCAAUCUACCUUAGUUACAGGGAUAGCCCGAGGAAACUCGGAUUAAUACCUGAUAUUCUUUAUUUCUCGCAUGAGAAUAAAAGGAAAGGUCAGCCGAACUAAGAUGAGCUCGCGUUCUAUCAGCUAGUUGGUGAGGUAAAAGCUUACCAAGGCUACGACGGAUAGCUGGUCUGAGAGGACGAUCAGCCACACUGGGACUGAGACACGCCCAGACUCCUACGGGAGGCUGCAGCAGGGAAUAUUGUGCAAUGAACGAAAGUUUGACACAGCGACACCGCGUGUGGGAUGACGGAUCUAGGUUUGUAAACCACUUUCAGGAGGGAAGAAAAUGACGGUACCUCCACAAGAAGCCCCGGCCAACUACGUGCCAGCAGCCGCGGUAAUACGUAGGGGGCGAGCGUUGUCCGGAUUUAUUGGGCGUAAAGAGCUCGUAGGCGGUUCAACAAGUCGGUCGUGAAAGUUCAGGGCUCAACCCUGAAAUGUCGAUCGAUACUGUUGUGACUAGGAUAC